rnacentral:rRNA from 2 species
GUGCGAGACCGAUAGCGAACAAGUACCGUGAGGAAAAGAUGAAAAGAACUUUGAUAAGAGAGUUAAAGAGUACCUGAAACUGCUGAAAGGGAAGCGAAUCGUAUCCAGUGUCUAUAAUCUGCGGCAUAUUUCAUUGGCGGCAGUGUGCGUGCUUUUGCGUCGGAAGCGGCUUUUGUUGCUCUGUGCUUUUGCUGUGCGUGCUGUUGCUGGUGCCCUGUGUUGCGGUGGGACGUCAGAGUCAGUUCGUAUGCUGCGGGAAAUGGCCGCCGAGGAGGUAGGUCAGGACUUCGGUCUUGGCUGUUAUAUCUUGGUGGUUUGUUGUCGUGGUUGGGACUGAGGUGCCUACAAUGUGCUUUUGAGUGUGCCGGGUUCUCAUUUGGUGGACUGUUUGGAUAGCUUGCUAUGCUUGUGGUUUUUUCAUCGAGUGAUUGAGUCUGGUGGUAACUUGUUGCUGUUCGGGACUUUGA